GAUGAACGCUGGCGGCGUGCCUAAUACAUGCCAGUCGAGCGAACAGAUGAGGAGCUUGCUCCUCUGACGUUAGCGGCGGACGGGUGAGUAACACGUGGAUAACCUACCUAUAAGACCGGGAUAACUUCGGGAAACCGGAGCUAAUACCGGAUAAUAUAUUGAACCGCAUGGUUCAAUAGUGAAAGACGGUUUUGCUGUCACUUAUAGAUGGAUCCGCGCCGCAUUAGCUAGUUGGUAAGGUAACGGCUUACCAAGGCAACGAUGCAUAGCCGACCUGAGAGGGUGAUCGGCCACACUGGAACUGAGACACGGUCCAGACUCCUACGGGAGGCAGCAGUAGGGAAUCUUCCGCAAUGGGCGAAAGCCUGACGGAGCAACGCCGCGUGAGUGAUGAAGGUCUUCGGAUCGUAAAACUCUGUUAUUAGGGAAGAACAAAUGUGUAAGUAACUAUGCACGUCUUGACGGUACCUAAUCAGAAAGCCACGGCUAACUACGUG
rnacentral:rRNA from 1 species